UUUUUCCAAUUUCUAUUUUCUGUUUUAUUUCCAUUUUAUUUUCUUUAAUUCUAUUUUAUUUCAAAAAUCAAUAUCUCUUUCAUUUUUUAUCCAAAAAUUAUGGGACCAAUUGCAUUAGUCUCCAAAUAAAUUUUAGUUUCUAUUUCUGAUUUUUAAUAUUUUUUAUUUUCUCAUUUGAUAUUUUUUGUGAAUUUUCUCUUUUCUAGUUAUUUUUAAUUCAUUUUAAAUAGUUUUUGAUAUUCAAAAAAUACAAAAAUAUUUUCCUAACCUAUUUGAAUGAUGAUGGAUCUAUGAAAAAUAUUCUCAUCAAUUUUU
rnacentral:lncRNA from 1 species